rnacentral:rRNA from 1 species
UACAGAGGGGGCAAGCGUUAUUCGGAAUUAUUGGGCGUAAAGGGCGCGUAGGCGGCCUGACAAGUGGAUGGUGAAAUCCCUCGGCUUAACCGAGGAACUGCCAUCCAGACUGUUUGGCUUGAGACCGGGAGAGGUGAGUGGAAUUCCCAGUGUAGCGGUGAAAUGCGUAGAUAUUGGGAGGAACACCAGUGGCGAAGGCGGCUCACUGGACCGGUACUGACGCUGAUGCGCGAAAGCGUGGGGAGCGAACAGG